rnacentral:tRNA from 1 species
GCCGAGAUAGCUCAGUUGGUAGAGCAUCUGUCUGAAGAACAGAGGGUCCCCAGUUCAAAUCUGGGUCUCGGCACCA